AACUCCAUAGGAGUAAUGUUAAACUAGCUACUGGUAGCUACCUACAUUGUAAUGCAAAUGUGGUCCUAGCUCGGUUGCUUUCCUGUGGCAUGCCGAGUUAUUUGCACAAGUCACAAUGUGAGACAUUUUGUUUAGAGGUGAUUGUAUUUUGAAAUGGCAGCUAGGGAUAGGCAUUUGCUAUUCAAAUAUGGAUAUCACUAUUCACUAUCACUAUUCACUAUUCAAAUAUGGAUAUCCGGAAGGUCCAAAUACAUUUGUUUGUUUGUUGUGAAAACAUGUUUUAUUUGCUGCAGGACUGGUAGAGACAGUGCGGUGCUAGAAGGGAAGGUUUGAUUGGGAGAGACAGUUGUUGCUGUCAUAGGUAAUCUGUCAUACUAUACAUGUAUUAAUGACAUGUCUAUUUUAAAAUUGUUCUCCUCAGAACAUGGAUAAAAGCAGGAAUCUCUCUUGCCAGGGUAUGUAAGCCAACCGUCAACCACCCCCUCAUUUCCUGCAUUUUAAAGUUGCAAAAUCAAUUUUUUGACCUGCAAUUGAAUGAUAUAUACCCAUUGAUUCUUGAAGAAUAUAACUUAUAAAUGCCUCAUGAGCUUAGUUCAACAGUUGUACCCCAUCAGAACUCUGCAUAUAAGCUGAGUUUUACUUCAAUGUGGGUAAACAAAGUAAAUGUAAACAAACACUCUAUAGCCUCAAAACAUGGUUAAACAUGGAUCAAUCCACUAAUGGGAGGGAAAUGUAGCCUCAAAAUGAGCUGUUAUUGGCAGAGAGAUUUCAAACUCUUUGUAAUUGGUCUAUUAACUUAGACCACCUGGUGACGUCACCAAGCAAGCCAAAGCCCCACCAAUGCAAAACCUGCUGAUUUAGAAUGUCUUAUGUAGAUUGUAUUUUCAAUCAGCAACUAUCAGGAAGUUACACUGAUAACAUUUUUUCAUAGUUUCAUCAGCUGUUGUACAAAUAUGAUACAAAACACCAGCUGAGUGACACCGGCUGCAUCAGCAAGCCUGUGAAAGAACUGAGAAAACGUACUAAAGAGUCAAGACAGACACCAGAAAGAGGCCCAAGAAGACUUGGAUGCAGGAACAGAGGACAGCGAGGGAUGUUCAGAACUCACUCAGUCCGGUUUGGAGAAUGACUUCUCAACCCAAGACUAAGAGCAGCUGUGAGAAAGCAUCAGUUUGGAAGCAUUUGGGAAAAUGUAAAGUGCUAAAGAAGGUUCCCGGCAAAGAGGAUUGACUGUUAUGGGUCAGAGCCAGCUCUCACAAACAGAACAUGGAAAGACAUGAAAACCUGGUGCACAACAAAAUGCAAAGAGAAAAGGCUCUCCGCAGCCGGUAAAAGGCUAGCAUGCCACGAAGAUGAAGUUCACACAGGUGUACGGUGUUUCCUCCGACACAUUGGUGUGGCUGACCUCCGGGUUAGCGGGCAUUGUGUCAGGAAGCAGUGCAGCUUGGCAGGGUCGUGUUUCGGAGGAGAUGGCUCUCUACCUUCGCCUCUCCCGAGUCCGUAGGGAGUUGCAGCAAUGAGACAAGACUAACUACCAAUUGGAUACC